rnacentral:rRNA from 1 species
UGGCGGCGUGCCUAACACAUGCAAGUCGAGCGAGGAGAUCCUUCGGGAUGAUCCUAGCGGCGGACGGGUGAGUAACACGUGGGCAACCUGCCUCAUAGAGAGGAAUAGCCUUCCGAAAGGGAGAUUAAUACCUCAUAACAUUGCAGUUUCGCAUGGAACAGCAAUUAAAGGAGCAAUCCGCUAUGAGAUGGGCCCGCGGCGCAUUAGCUAGUUGGUGAGGUAACGGCUCACCAAGGCGACGAUGCGUAGCCGACCUGAGAGGGUGAUCGGCCACAUUGGGACUGAGACACGGCCCAGACUCCUACGGGAGGCAGCAGUGGGGAAUAUUGCACAAUGGGGGAAACCCUGAUGCAAGCAACGCCGCGUGAGUGAUGACGGCCUUCGGGUUGUAAAGCUCUGUCUUCAGGGAUGAUAAUGACGGUACCUGAGGAGGAAGCCACGGCUAACUACGUGCCAGCCGCCGC